rnacentral:rRNA from 1 species
AGUGAACGCUGGCGGUAGGCCUAACACAUGCGAGUCGAACGGCAGCACAGUAAGAGCUUGCUCUUACGGGUGGCGAGUGGCGGACGGGUGAGGAAUACAUCGGAAUCUACUUUUUCGUGGGGGAUAACGUAGGGAAACUUACGCUAAUACCGCAUACGACCUACGGGUGAAAGCAGGGGAUCUUCGGACCUUGCGCGAUUGAAUGAGCCGAUGUCGGGUUAGCUAGUUGGCGGGGUAAAGGCCCACCAAGGCGACGAUCCGUAGCUGGUCUGAGAGGAUGAUCAGCCACACUGGAACUGAGACACGGUCCAGACUCCUACGGGAGGCAGCAGUGGGGAAUAUUGGACAAUGGGCGCAAGCCUGAUCCAGCUAUACCGCGUGGGUGAAGAAGGCCUUCGGGUUGUAAAGCCCUUUUGUUGGGAAAGAAAAGCAGCAGGUUAAUACCCCGCUGUUCUGACGGUACCCAAAGAAUAAGCACCGGCUAACUUCGUG